UACGUAGGGUGCGAGCGUUAAUCGGAAUUACUGGGCGUAAAGCGUGCGCAGGCGGUUCUGAAAGUCAGCUGUGAAAGCCCCGGGCUUAACCUGGGAAUUGCGGUUGAAACUAUAGGGCUAGAAUCUGGCAGAGGGGGGUGGAAUUCCACGUGUAGCAGUGAAAUGCGUAGAGAUGUGGAGGAACACCGAUGGCGAAGGCAGCCCCCUGGGCUGAGAUUGACGCUCAGGCACGAAAGCGUGGGGAGCAAACAGG
rnacentral:rRNA from 1 species